UACGUAGGUGGCAAGCGUUGUCCGGAAUUAUUGGGCGUAAAGCGCGCGCAGGCGGUUCUUUAAGUCUGAUGUGAAAGCCCCCGGCUCAACCGGGGAGGGUCAUUGGAAACUGGGGAACUUGAGUGCAGAAGAGAAGAGCGGAAUUCCACGUGUAGCGGUGAAAUGCGUAGAGAUGUGGAGGAACACCAGUGGCGAAGGCGGCUCUUUGGUCUGUAACUGACGCUGAGGCGCGAAAGCGUGGGGAGCAAACGGG
rnacentral:rRNA from 1 species